CACGUAGGGCGCAAGCGUUGUCCGGAAUUAUUGGGCGUAAAGAGCUCGUAGGCGGUCUGUUGCGUCCGCUGUGAAAACUCGGGGCUUAACCCCGAGCCUGCAGUGGAUACGGGCAGACUAGAGGUAGGUAGGGGAGAAUGGAAUUCCCGGUGUAGCGGUGAAAUGCGCAGAUAUCGGGAGGAACACCGGUGGCGAAGGCGGUUCUCUGGGCCGUUACUGGACGCUGAGGAGCGAAAGCAUGGGGAGCGAACAGG
rnacentral:rRNA from 1 species